UCUAAAAUAACAAAUAUAGGACUUAAACUCCUAUCAAGAAGAAUAAUUCUUCUUUUAGAA
rnacentral:tRNA from 1 species